UACGUAGGGGGCAAGCGUUGUCCGGAAUCAUUGGGCGUAAAGAGCGCGUAGGCGGCCCUGCAAGUCCGCUGUGAAAGUCAAGGGCUCAACACUUGAAUGCCGGUGGAUACUGCAGGGCUAGAGUCCGGAAGAGGCGAGUGGAAUUCCUUGUGUAGCGGUGGAAUGCGCAGAUAUCAGGAGGAACACCAAUAGCGAAGGCAGCUCGCUGGGACGGUACUGACGCUAAGGCGCGAAAGCGUGGGGAGCGAACAGG
rnacentral:rRNA from 1 species